rnacentral:rRNA from 1 species
CGGCGGACGGGUGAGUAACACGUGGAUAACCUACCUAUAAGACUGGGAUAACUUCGGGAAACCGGAGCUAAUACCGGAUAAUAUAUUGAACCGCAUGGUUCAAUAGUGAAAGACGGUUUUGCUGUCACUUAUAGAUGGAUCCGNGCCGCAUUAGCUAGUUGGUAAGGUAACGGCUUACCAAGGCAACGAUGCGUAGCCGACCUGAGAGGGUGAUCGGCCACACUGGAACUGAGACACGGUCCAGACUCCUACGGGAGGCAGCAGAG